CUCUGUCAUAAUCUGGAAUGAUGAUAUCAAUCAAGUGAAGCAGCUAUCACAGGGUCUGGAACAUAGUACAUCCCAGCCUUCUUGCACAUAGAAACACUACACAGCACUUCAGCUGUAUGUUUGGGGGCCAUUUUAAACAGCAAAAUCAUCAACAGGAAGCAGAAAAUUGUAAAAAUUGUGGCACUAAAUAGACCAUGUAAAGGACACAUGUUUGCAAUAAGAAAGCUGAAACAAGAAGGGGGAGUGUCACCUUAUUUGAUCCAGCUAGAAACUCAGGUGCUGGUAUUCCAGCAACACUCAGGCGGCUGCUCCAGGAGGCUGCAGAGGGGUCCUUUUUAGCCGUCAACAAAACUGGCUAUGGUCACGCCCAUUGGGAAACUCAUUGCUGCCUUCAAGGUGGAAGUUAAAGUCAUCACAGUUCUUUCAUGAAAGGAGAAAACUUCUACAUAGAAGAUGAGAAGCUUCUUUGGGGCAGAGACUAUAGACUCAGAAGCUGUAGGAAUAUUCAGGCACAGACACCAGACCCAGCUUCAUCUCUAACUUGUGGCAAAGGACAGUACAUCCUGGGAUGGGACCCUAUGCUCCCCUAUGCCAUUUAGACAGAGCCUGGGGAGAGUGACUUCCCAGGGUAUCCAUGUUGGAAUCUCUCAUUUGAUUCUUAUUCAAAUUUAGGUUCUGUCAAUAGAAGAUACUAAAGAAAGAAAGCCAGGAGAAGAAAAGGGACUUCUUUCUUCAAGGUCUAAGCUGUUCUAAUAGCAUUAUUCUGGGAAUGGCAUCUUCCACUCCUCCUAGUACAAAGAACCUGCUUCCUCAUACCCCGUCAAGGAACUGCAGCAUCCAGGUGAUGGCCACAGUGGCAGAACCUAGGAAGCCAAGAAGAAACCAGAGAAUGGAGACACAUGGCAGCAAUGGCAAGUCAUCAGACCCAGGAUUUCCCAAAGAACACUGGUCCAGGAAGAUGCUCUGUGAAAAAGUGUUCCCUGGUCGGAGAAAUUUGUGAAACACUUUGCAUAAUACUUAAAAGAAUGUAUGGCACAUCAAAGAUCUUAUAACAGUCUCCGCAGGAAGCAGCUGCAGUCAUUAGCCAUAGGACAGACUAAACACACAAUCUGCAUGGAAGGAGGCCUGGAUCAGCUUGGUCUUUCAGAUCUCUAAUCUCAGGCACAGGAAAGCACCAUCAACAGCACCCUUUGUAUAUAUACAUAAAGGUAACAUAUUUUAUCAUUUAAAGGGAUUUGAGAAAUUGAAGAGGCCCAACUCUUUUUCUGCCUUCUUUGGUUUGAGGCUUAGAUUGCUUAAGGGGCUUGCCCAGGAUCACAUAUCUUGUAAGAGACAGAGCAAGGAUUCAAAGCCAGUGCUGGCUUCUGUGUCUCCAUUCUUUCCAUUCUCCUCCAGUGGCUCUUUUGGGAAGCUGAGGGAGGAACAGCAGCAGAAUUGGGUGGCACCUGCCCAUGCCCAUCAUGC
rnacentral:lncRNA from 1 species